AUAUGAUAACUGCAAUGUCCUUUUAAUUUUUGAAAGUAACCACCGCGUGAUAUUCUUUUUCCAAAGUAACCACCACUCCUUAAUAGUUUGAGCAUAACGUUUAUAUAAAUAUUUUGUAACCUCCGUUGUGAUUCCAAAGUUCUCGGAUCCACUUCUCUAAUAUACAUAUUAUAGUCAACGGUACAUAAUAUAUGUGUGUUGAAGAAAUAAAUGCAUAAUAUUUGGUCGACAAAUCUAACCUAUACUAAAAGCCAAAUAUAAACCCCAUUUAGCCUGCCCACGUAGGACUAUAAAUUCUAGCCAAUCAUAUAGCUUCAUCUCUCCACAUCACCACCGAAUAUUGGAUCAUCGAAUUGGACAUUGUUUGUGGGCCAAUCAUAUAUUGUUUUCGGCCUAUCUGUAAGAAGCUUCGGUUGCGUCUUUACACGUUCCUUUCUAAUUCUUCGAAACGUUAGAGGUUAUUAAUUCAUCGCUUUAACAAACCUCUUAAUACCAUCAAUCCGCGUCUGAGCAUGAUCUGAGAUUGAUGCAUCUUAUCCCUCUGCAAGUUGGUCUCUAUGCACCUAUAAAUGGUAAGCCCUCUUUCCUUGAACAUCAUCCUCUCAAUCCGUGAUAACACCAAAGUUAAUUUCAUUGUGUGAAUGGCUAACUAAUCAAUCUUUCUUCUUUAGUGGCUUCUCGCUGCAACACAAGAAACUGCGAUGAACGGAGAGUCCUCAUCGGUUCGAAUCAGCCCUAAGCACGAAGGAGUCGUGGAGAUCUCUGAUUCUGUACCUCUCAUUCCUCCUCUCGGGAUCUCGGUCAUCAUGAUACGUGGCUAUGUGAGGAGAUGGAGUUGAGAUGAGGAUGAUAGCUCUCACUUCACCUUGAAAUAAUUGAUCGACCCGUUCAAGAUGACUGACUACUCGGUUACUCUCGGUUGACAAGGAGGCGUUUACUCACUGAAAAAUCUCUUCCGAAGUGUUUUCCUUUCCAAGAGUCUGCUCAAUUGAUUGAUUUUUCUUUUUUCACCUUCUCUGCAAAACUUUUUUGGUAGCCAAGAGUCACUUUUUAUAAACUUCAGGCUUCUGAACUCUCAUUCUAAAAAUGGAUUUUUGUGUGGUUCUCUCUUUCUAUGAUCUUUUGUUCGUCUGAUAUGUUCGAUUUCAAAAGCAAGUUGUUAUCUAAUUAAAGCAUUGUCUUUAUAGGAACAGAAGCGAUGAUGACAAGAGAAGAAAGCUGAGUCCUCUGGAAAGAAACAACACAAUAAGUAAUUUAGAAGAACAAAGGGAGCUGAAGUUGCAAGACAUGUGGACUGUCCGUUGCAUUAGCUUUUUUAUUUUAUUUCCAAGUUCAACGAAGUCAGAGCACUUCAAGUCUUUUAUAGAUUAUGUUUUGUUGCUCUAUAUUUUCUAAAUUUGCACCGCUCAGACAUUUGCAAGUUAAUAAAUUUGCACUUCCACCCAGACUGGCCUUAUCCAGUUUACCUUACCGGCUUACACUCACAACGCCUUAUAGUUUUUAAUUUAAUUUCAAAUCACUACAAAGUCAUAUGACUUCAAAUCGUCAGCACAUCUAUUUCUUUAGCUCUAUUUGUUAAGAAAUAAGCACCACACUUCACUUCAAAUCGUCUGCACAUGGAAAGCAUUAUUAUCUAAAUGAAUAAUUUAUUCCUGCGACACCACACUUCCUGAUACCAUCAUUAACAUCUCAAACAAGUUACAUAUGGUUCAUUAAAUCUACAUAAUAACAACAUUCCACGAGAUAUAUUGAAAACAAAACAUUAGGAGUGCAAGAAUGACACAUAACAUUAAGCCAAAAAAAAAGAAUGACACAUAACAUCAUGCG